GUCAAAGGGAGCGCUUGCGAAUGGACGCUGCUUUUAUUAAGGAGACAUUUUUCAAACAGCAGGGACAUAGCCGGCAAGGCUGAAUGUGCAGCCUAACACUCACUGUAGGUCACAUGCCGAGCCCGUGUGAGGGCAGAGUGCCCGGCGUACUAGAGCCACACAAACUCCCAGAGCCCACUUCUGUGAUCAGCUCCACUCCAGAGACAGGAAAAUGAGGUCCGGAGCGGCGGCGCCCACAAGGCCACACGGCAGGAAACAAUGACCCUUGGUGCAAGGUAGAGUGGCCCUCGGCAUCUGGAUUUUCAGCUCCACCCUGGACACAUCGUAAAGGGUGCCAGCGACGCUGACCCCUAGGCUCCUCCAAGGGGCCCAGCACCCUGAGCAGUUAUCUGGAGCCAGAACAGCUUCAGUUUCCCCAUUUGCAGAGGUGGAAAUGCUUGCUUAUUUAUAAAGAAUUUGGCCUCUUACCUAAAAAGCAGCCAUCAGCGGGAGCCAUUUCAUGAUGGGUGGUUUGACCUUUGGCAAGAAAGACGACCAGGAAAGUUUUGUAGCGUGUUGACAAAGCCCAUGCCAAUGGAAGAGGUGGAGAAAGCAAACAAGCAAAUGCACAGCCCACUUCUGCCUGCAGCUGGAAGCCCUGUUCCCCCAGCCUCCUGCCCAGGUUUCUGAGGGCUAAGACAGUGGAAUAAAAUCCUGACAAGAGAGGCUCUGCUCGGCCCACUACUGAAAGGAAAACAACCGAAGAGCAGUAUCUCCAGAAGAUUGAGCCGGUUCUGUUUCGCAAGGACAGGAAAGGUCUUCAGAGAGUGGAGGAGCUUCUAAGAGCCACAAGCCAAGCCUGCAAGUGCUCGGGUUAUCCAGGGACACUGGGCAAUUACAGUGCUCUGCCCACUGCCCUGAUGCCCAAUCCACUUUCCUUUGGGGGAAGCCAAGGGUUAAGCCAUCCCAACAUGCCCCACUCCCAAUUUAUAAAAUGGAAAAUCUUCCAUAAAUCAAAAGUUAC